rfam:Oryza sativa Japonica Group DNA, chromosome 5, cultivar: Nipponbare, complete sequence.
CCUCUAGAUGAGGAAGAUUUGAUUGCUUAUAUUCUAAACAGCCUAGAUGGUGAUUAUGAUUCUGUUGUUUCUGCAAUCGGCAUGAAAUCUGAACUAAUCUCUGUUAUGGAAGUAUACUCUCAGCUGUUAAAUUUUGAGA